rnacentral:rRNA from 1 species
GAUGGAGGAUGCAAGUGUUAUCCGGAAUCACUGGGCGUAAAGCGUCUGUAGGUGGUUUAAAAAGUCUACUGUUAAAGCUUGAAGCUUAACUUCAAAAAUGCCGUAGAAACUUUUAAACUUGAGUGUGGUAGGGGAGAUCGGAAUUCCUGGUGUAGCGGUGAAAUACGCAGAUAUCAGGAGGAACACCGGUGGCGAAGGCGGAUCUCUGGGCCAUUACUGACGCUGAGGAGCGAAAGCGUGGGGAGCGAACAGG